ACAUAAAGCUCUGAUCUGUGUAGUAGGUGCCAUUGAACGUUUAAAUUCUCUCCCUCUGCACUCUGCUUCCUCUGCUUCUAGCAAACCGUCCUUGCUUUCCUUACCAGCUCCUUGUUGUGGUACACAAGAACCUGGACCUCCUAGAGUGGUACCGUCUGAACCCCUAUUUCCCCAGCAGAGAACCUGACUCCUCUUUCAUGGCCCACCCACAUGAUUCCUGCUGGGGCUGGGCUGGGCUGCUUUCCCUUCAUUUGUUUCUACUCAAUUCUGGAAGCCUGAGAUGAUGUUAUUUGAUUUCAAAUCAUGUCAAUUAGCUCCUCAAACUGAGUCAGCACUUGGAUUUUAUAAAGGCUACACUCAUUGUGUGAUAGAAGCAAGAUUAUUUUAUGAAUAAGGUUAUCAUCUUGUUGAUUAUAAGCAAAAUUGAAUUUUUUUUUCACAGUAGGGACAUUAGUGUAGCCAAGCAAAGCAGAGAAACGUGCUUACUUUGCUAAAAUAUGUAUCUUCCUCCAAAAAGGAGCUCUUCCAAAUGAGAUCACCAGGGAAGAGUUCUGAGGUAACGCCAGUCACCAUGCAAACCCACCAGACGUUUACACGGCUUCUUCGUCCCUUCCUGGUACGAGAAAAGCGUUUGCUGGGGACUUGUGCUUCUUAAACGGGAAUAUUCAAAAAAUGCUGGGCAAUAUCUGCGCCACGGGGCACCAUCUCCCUCCACCGAAGAAGUCCUAGUCACUGCCAAAGUGUGAAAAUCGGGGUACCCAGAGGCACAGAAGCAGGGAGGACUGAGCAGUUGAGAGCAGCCACCCUUGUCCUGUCUCAGCAGCCACAUGGGACAGAUAGGCUUGGUUUUGCCGCAGGGGAUAGGUGUGUGGGCUGAGCUCAGCAAAUCGAAUAGCACACCUGGGAUGAAGUCUGUGUAGUUCUCAGCUUGAAACGAUUCCCCAUUUCAAGUCCAUAAGGCCCUCCGUGUACGGCGUCAGUUUUGCUUAGCUGCGGCAGCCACAAAGAAGCAAUUUAUUGAAGAGCUGAAACGGCUCUCCUUCAAUGGGCUGACAGGCAAAUAUUUGAGGGAACGCUUCGCUGGCCGCCUACCGUUGUGAACAGACAUCUGCCAGCGCUGUUGAUUGGCAUCCUUCCUGAGUUAAGUCAUCUUGCCCAGCCUUGCUAAAAACUCUCAAGUACAAGUUUAUUCUUGUCGCUUGCAUACCAUUCUCUGGAGGGCUGUUCUCAAGGAUGCCUGCAGAGAAAAGCUUCCUUCCUUUCCCCUCAGCCCAAGUCUCUGAGGACCAUAAGGAGGGGGAGUCAGGGAAACUUCCCUGGUAGAAGUGAAGAUCCAGGGCUGGAGAGAUGGCAGAGCAGUUAAGAGCACCAGCACCAACUGCUCUUCUGAAGGUCGUGAGUUCAAAUCCCAGCAACCAACCACAUGGUGGCUCACAACCAUCUGUAACAUCCCUCUUCUGGAGUACUUACAUAUAAUAAACAAAUAAUUCAAAAAAAAAUUGAAAAUCCAUUGUCAAGGUCUCUUCAGAUGGCAUCUUUGUUUAACUUUUGAAGCUCCACACAGCAGUCAGAUAAAAAUGAAGAUAUUAAGACUUUAGAAGAAACACUCGUCCAUAUCGCUAAUGGGUUUUAUGAUGAGAUGUGGAAAAACUGGUACCUAACUAUCCACCCUCCCUCACCAAGUGAUUGUUAAAUGUGUUUCCGUGAGAAACGAACUCAGCCAAAGAGUGCUCGCUGAACUACAAAAUCAACAUUCUGAAAUAGCUCCAUGGAUAUUUUCUGCUUUCAAAAUGUGUUUUGUCACCUCAAACUGUAUGGAAGCUUCUGGAAGCAUGCCGUGUGUCCUGCUGUCUGUGCUGUGGAAGGGCACAGCUCCCGCUGUCCUCUGCCGAGAUCAUUUUAUUUAACAAGGUUGUGAAAUCAACUAGGGUUCUUACUUUCCAUGGGAGAGAUCUAAGAUUUGGUGAGCUCACUGGCCCUCCUCGCUGUGGCUUGGGAUUGAAGUGUCCUCCCAGAGCUCAUGUAUUGAAAUAUAGUUGUGUUCAGAAGUGGGAGAUGAUUAGAUCUGGAAGAUUCUGGCCUCAUCUGGAUAUUGCUCCUUUGAGGGGUACAUAAGCUCAAAACAUCUUUGGGAAAUGGGGAACACUUGAAGAGGUAGGACUGGUCGGAGGAAACAGAUCCGUGGGAAUGUGUCUGGGAAGGCUGUGUCUUAGGCUGAGCAACUUUGCUCCCAUCAAGACUUAGUCCUGCCAUGAGCUUUAGCCUCAUUUUGGAACCAAAAUGACCAUGGUCUGGAACCUCUGAAACCAAGAUCUGAAAUUAAGUCUUUGUCUUUUUCAUUUAAGUUUCUGCUCUGCUAGUUUGUUACAGUAGUAGAGACCUGACUUACACAGCCCUACAAGAAGUGUUUUAAGAACUGGAUCCUGCCUGGUCCUUGAUUCUGAAGCCCAUGGCUUUGACUCUUCAUUGAGUACUAGAAUGCCAUAUUGAUCAGUUUUAUUGACUUAUUGGUUUUAUACUGAGAUCCAUAUAGUUUCCAAUUUCAUGUAAAAUGAGAGCAAAUAAAAAGUAUUUAAGAACAAGAG
rnacentral:lncRNA from 1 species